AUACACAUGCAAGUCNCCNCACCCCUGUGAAAACGCCCUUCAAUCCCUUUAGGGAUAAGGAGCUGGUAUCAGGCUCGAAAUUCUGCCCAAAACACCUAGCUAUGCCACACCCACAAGGGAACUCAGCAGUGAUUAACAUUGAGAAUAAGCGACAGCUUGACUCAGUUAAAGUAUAAAGAGCCGGCAAAUCUGGUGCCAGCCGCCGCGGUUACACCACGUGGCUCAAAUUGAUUUUAAUCGGCGUAAAGCGUGAUUUAAGAAACAAAAAAAUUGAAAUUAAACUCAAACUAAGCUGUGACACGCUUGUUUAUAAGAAAACCUAAUACGAAAGUUAUUUCAAUUAACCCAACUUGAAUUCACGAUAGUUAGGGUACAAACUGGGAUUAGAUACCCCACUAUGCCUAACCGUAAACUUUAACUUACACACCUAUCGCCAGGGAACUACGAGCAAAGCUUAAAACCCAAAGGACUUGACGGUACCCCAAAUCCACCUAGAGGAGCCUGUCCUAUAAUCGAUAACCCCCGUUUAACCUCACCACCUCUAGCUACUCAGCCUGUAUACCUCCGUCGUCAGCUUACCACGUGAGCGAACAUUAGUGAGCUUAAUGCCAAUACACCAACACGUCAGGUCAAGGUGCAGCACAUGAGAUGGGAAGAGAUGGGCUACACUUUCUAACCUAGAAAAUACAAAAGACUACCUAUGAAACCUAGUCUGAAGGCGGAUUUAGAAGUAAAAAGAAACAAGAGUGUUCUCUUUAACUUGGCACUGGGGUGUGUACACACCGCCCGUCACCCUCUUCAAAGCUAAUAAAAAGUUCCUAACUAACUUAUGCUACAUAGAAGAGGCAAGUCGUAACAUGGUAAGUAUACCGGAAGGUGUGCUUGGAAACGAAACGUAGCUUAACAUAAAGCAUCUCGCUUACACCGAAAAUAUAUCUGUGAAAAUCAGGUCGUCUCGAACUGAAAUUCUUGCCCCNNNNNNNNNNNNNAAAUAAAAAUUUUUAUUUAGUCAAACUAAAUCAUUAUUNAAACUUAGUAGAGGAGAUAAAAAAGUUGAUAGGAGCAAUGAAAUUAGUACCGCAAGGGAAAGAUGAAAUAAAAAUGAAAUAAAUUUAAGUAGNAAAAAGCAGAGAUCUACUCUCGUACCUUUUGCAUCAUGGUUUAACUAGUUCAACCAAGCAAAAAGAAUUUAAGUUUGACUUCCCGAAACUAGGUGAGCUACUUCAAGGCAGCUUAUUGAGCCAACCCGUCUCUGUUGCAAAAGAGUGGGAAGACCUUCAAGUAGGGGUGAUAGACCUACCGAGCCUAGUGAUAGCUGGUUAUUCAGGAAAAGAAUAUUAGUUCAACUAAAAAUUACCUAAAUAUAAACAAAUUUUACUCUAAUUUUUAAGCAAUUCAAAUAAGGUACAGCCUAUUUGAAACAGGAUACAACCUAAACUAACGGGUAACUUUUCUAGCACAUAUAUCCAAGUAGGCCUAAUAGCAGCCAACUUUCAAAAAGCGUCAAAGCUUACUUAUAUGCUACUCUAAUACCUUAAUAAACUUUAAACCCUUUAUUAAUACUGAAUACUUCUAUAUUCUUAUAGAACUUUUUAUGUUAAAACUAGUAACAAGAAGAAAAACUUCUCUUUAAUGUAAAUGUAAGACGGCUAGAAUGCCCCACCGACAAUUAACGCCCAUGAACAACCAGUAGAAACACUACAAGAAAAAUCUACUACUUUUCACGUUAACCUUACACAAGAACAUUCCAAGAAAGAUUUAAAGAAAAGGAAGGAACUCGGCAAAUUUUAACCUCGCCUGUUUACCAAAAACAUCGCCUCUUGCUAAUUAUAAGAGGUCUAGCCUGCCCAGUGAUCUAAUUCAACGGCCGCGGUAUCCUAACCGUGCGAAGGUAGCGUAAUCACUUGUUCUUUAAAUGAGGACUAGUAUGAACGGCAUCACGAGGGUUAAGCUGUCUCCCCUUUCUAAUCAGUGAAACUGAUCUCCCCGUGAAGAAGCUGGGAUGAUUUUAUAAGACGAGAAGACCCUAUGGAGCUUUAAACUAUUCAACAAUUGCUAUAUUAUUCCUAAUUUCCAGAAUAUAAAAUUAUUUUAACAUUAUGAUUGUUAGUUUUCGGUUGGGGUGACCGCGGAGUAUAAAUUAACCUCCACGAUGAAAGAAACUCUAUUUCUUAACCCAGAGUUACAUCUCCAAGUAUCAAAAAUUUGACAUUAAUUGAUCCAAUUUUCUUGAUCAACGAACCAAGUUACCCUAGGGAUAACAGCGCAAUCCACUUCAAGAGCCCCUAUCGACAAGUGGGUUUACGACCUCGAUGUUGGAUCAGGGUAUCCC
rnacentral:ncRNA from 1 species